UACGUAGGGGGCGAGCGUUAUCCAGAUUUACUGGGCGUAAAGCGUGCGCAGGCGGCUUUGCAAGACAGAUGUGAAAUCCCCGGGCUCAACCUGGGAACUGCAUUUGUGACUGCAUGGCUAGAGUACGGUAGAGGGGGAUGGAAUUCCGCGUGUAGCAGUGAAAUGCGUAGAUAUGCGGAGGAACACCGAUGGCGAAGGCAAUCCCCUGGACCUGUACUGACGCUCAUGCACGAAAGCGUGGGGAGCAAACAGG
rnacentral:rRNA from 1 species